ensembl:lncRNA
CUGGGUAUCACGGGUCAUACAGCACGGCAGGGAGGACACCUGGAUCAACAACUCAGGUGAGUCCUUCACUGGGUAUCACGGGUCAUACAACACGGCAGGGAGGACACCUGGAUCAACAACUCAGGUGAGUCCUUCACUGGGUAUCACGGGUCAUACAGCACGGCAGGGAGGACACCUGGAUCAACAACUCAGGUGAGUCCUUCACUGGGUAUCACGGGUCAUACAGCACGGCAGGGAGGACACCUGGAUCAACAACUCAGAGCGUUGGAGGAAGGUUUUCAUACAAUCUACUGGAUAACUAUAUGGCUCGAUCGACUCAACAGCAUGUCAACAUGACAUCACCACAUUCUCAUCCCAUGAUUUCGUUCAACGUUUUCCUUUCGUAAUGUUGUCCAGAGGGUGUUGAACAACCUACAUCAGUGAUCUGACAAAGAGCAAGUCCAACCUCAACCAUCACUCAUAAAACACUCAACAAUAUAAAUGAAUUCAUCGGAAUCAUCAUCAGAGACAGAGGACGAUAUGAGUCAACCCUUAUCAGGAUCUACUCAACACAGUGCUAGACCCUAAAAGUGACAGGAGCUCCACGUUAGAUAAUCAUCAGCACAACACAUUUAGAGGUUAUCUUCAAGAAUUCACCUCCUCUCUGAAGCUAGUGGACAUAUGGAGAUUACAGAACCCUAAUUUAAAACAAUUCACUUACUCUAAAAAUACUAAAACCUCAGAGUCUGGAUCUAGGUUAGACAUGUUCUUUGUGACAAGAUUCAUGCAGACACAAAACAUUACUCACAGCUGUAGAAUCCAUGAUAUCUGUGAGGUAAAAGGAAGAAAACAUGUUUCCGAUCACAAACCAGUCAUUCUGGAGCUCUACCUUCCUGCCAAAGCAGACAGUUCCACUCCCUCCACACUAGAAUGUAGAAAUACAGAGGUUCUGACAACGUUACCGGAGGAUCAAUACAAUGACAGAACAGGAAAAAUAUCUGGGUCUGAGAUAGUAAUGGCAAUAGAAUCUCUGACUGGCUCUGGACAACCAACACUUGGUACAAAACCUGACCUGAUAACAACCGAACGCUUAAAGCGGACAUAUAAUAAAGAACACAAAGCUUCAGAAAUGACAGCCAAUGAAGGGACGAUAUUUGCUAAAAUACUAGAAAGUCGUCUACAAAUGUACCUUCAGUUCUCAAUCAAAGAAAAGAACCGAGGUGAACCGUCACAGAGUUUGCCUUAUCUUGUUAAGUUGGACAUCGCAACCAAGAUUAAGAGAAACUUCUUGGAAGAAGUCCUUUUGUCCAUAAAGUGUUCUAAACCAUCUCCUAAAUCACCUGACCCUAUUAGCUUCACAUUUUUAAGGGAAGUGCUUUCUCGUGACAUUACCAACUGGUCAAAGUUGCUUCCAAUUGCCGAUCAUACUUUAGGUGACAAGAGACGGUUAAACCAUGACUGUCCUCUCACCCAAACUCGACUUGCCUUAUGCCUGAAGAAUUUACAAUACAAGAUUUAUGUUAAAACUAAGAUAACCAGUGUGUGGUACUUCAGACGGUGUUGUCUGAUACACAUGGAAGAAAAGGAAUUGCCAACUGUGACAGCUGUACUCCGUAAAUUCAGAGAAGACUCUGGGCUUAGUAUUACCACAGAGAUGAAACUAUGCUUUUGCCACCAGGCCACAAACCCAGAACAGUGAAUUAAGGUCAAACCCAGAACCAGUCCUGAAGAUCAUGUAUUAUAGUCAAACCCAGAACCAGUCCUAAAGAUAAUGUAUUAUAGUCAAACCCAGAACCAGUCCUAAAGAUCAUGUAUUAUAGUCAAACCCAGAACCAGUCCUAAAG